rnacentral:lncRNA from 1 species
GCGGUCAUGAUCAUGGCCAAAAGGGAGAAAAUGAUAUUUUCAUCAAUUGAGACGGCAGACUAAUAAUGUCCGCUGGUUGAGCUGAAGGACAAGUUUGGAAAGGGUAACGUCCGCCGGUUGAGGGGCUGAAGAACCUGUUUGGAAAUUUGAAAGAGUUAGAGAGACGUUACAUUGCCCCUUGAGUUAAGAGUUGUCCCAAUAAUUUUCACGAAAAAAAAAAAGAAGGCGAUGGCGAUGUCAUACCUAAAUUUCCGACGGCCUUAUCCAUGAUCCCUCCAGGAGAAGUAGAAGACCCCCUUAUUCAUAUAUAUUCAUAUAUAUGUAUUUGUUUGAAGUCAAAGAGGAGUUGCAUGAGCUAACUGAACGUCACUAAAUCCAAACCAUAACUUAUUCUAUACACAUUUAAUGCACUUUAUUCUUCACCAUUAUCCCUUCCCCUAGCCAAACACCAAUCCAUCAGAAUAACGUUAACCUGUCCUUUCAACAGGAGAAAUUAUUCGUUGGACCUUUCCUUUUGACGGGUAUAAGAAAUAUGUUGUUAAAUCUGCACAACUGAAUACCUUUAUUGCUCAUUAUUGAAACCAUUCUCAUUCAAUUGAAGGUUCACGGGAAUCCUAAAGAAUUAGAAGACAAGAAUAGUCAUAUAUCUAUUUGUUUGAAGUCCAAGAGGCGUUGCAUCACCUAACUGAACGUCACUAAAUCCAAACUAUAACUUAUUCUAUGCACAUUAAAUGCACUUUUUUCUUCACCAUUAUCCCU